rnacentral:misc_RNA from 1 species
GGUGAAGAACGUAGCGAAAUGCGAUAAGUAAUGUGAAUUGCAGAAUUCAGUGAAUCAUCGAAUCUUUGAACGCACAUUGCGCCCGCCAGUAUUCUGGCGGGCAUGCCUGUUCGAGCGUCAUUACAACCCUCAGGCCCCCGGGCCUGGCGUUGGGGAUCGGCGGAAGCCCCCUGCGGGCACAACGCCGUCCCCCAAAUACAGUGGCGGUCCCGCCGCAGCUUCCAUUGCGUAGUAGCUAACACCUCGCAACUGGAGAGCGGCGCGGCCACGCCGUAAAACACCCAACUUCUGAAUGUUGACCUCGAAUCAGGUAGGAAUACCCGCUGAACUUAAGCAUAUCAAUAAGCGGAGGA